CGGGAUUGACUGAAACCAUUGCUGGGCAAGUACAAUACGGGUGCCGCCAGGUGGCUGAGUCGUGACUGAAAUCAUUGUUGGGUAAGGUGCGAUUAGUUCGCCGCCAGAUGGAUAGGUCAUGACUUGAGUCCUCGCUGGGUAAAUGCAAUGUGUUUGCCGCCAGAAUGGCUAUGUCAAGGGACUUGAGCCGGGUUCAGCAUGUGCGACGAUUUCGCCGUUAAGAGGCUAAGUCACAGAAGGCGGUACGCUGUUGAGCGGCCAGUGCACGGACUAUCCGCGGAUGAUUGACUCGAAGCCGAGUCGGGUGGUUAGCUUCGAUAAGAUAGUGGAACCCUUAUGAGCUAGUGAUAGAGGCUUGAGCUAAGGUAAUAGAGACCUUAGAAGCCAGUUGACUUGAGUGUGACCCUAAGGCAAUAGAAACCUUAGAGUUGAAUGAUAUGAGCUAAGAGUAGCCAAGUAGAAUCAAUUGAUCUACUAGUUGUUGCAUAGAGUUGCAUGAUUUUCAUAUCACAUAUCGUGAGGCAUGGCAUGUAUUUCAAUUCGAAUAUAUAUAUCUGUUGUAUAUUGUUGAACUAACAUGUUGCAGUGCCUCCUCGGACCUAUUGGUCGAACUUUUUCCUUGGGUGGCCGUACCCACUGAAAACCAUGGAGUUGGUUCUCACCCCACGUUGUUUUGGGGUGUUACAGGUUCGCACGUGAGCGGCGCAGCGGCACGAGGAAAGAGCGUAGCUCCAUAGAUAGUGCCCUACCACAGAGACCGAGGUAGCAGUACCCUGAGACAGUCUAGCUUAGGGGACUAGAAGACAAUGAACCAAGUUGUAUCAAUCUUUGUAAAUCAAAUGUAAUAACUGAGAUUGUAUUUGGAAGUCUAAUGUAAAAGAAAAACUGUGAUGUAAAAUGCAUGUAAUGAGAAUGCUUGUAAUAGCUAUAAGUUUAUGUUGUUGAUACUUCCUCAUGCAAUCUGUUUGUUGGUAUCGGUUCCUGGUUGGAACCUUCGUAUUGUGUUGAUUGCGAUGCCUUGAAUGUACAUGGGAGUCUCUAUCCGCAGUACAGGGAAAAUCCUGUCCGUUCGGCGGUCUGUCGGUGUGCCCGCGACCCGGCCAAAUAGGCGGGCGGUCGCGGGGUGUGACAGAUAAAGUGGUAUCAGAGCAUAAAGUCGAGAAUAAGAAAAUGGUUUAGACAGGCCUAGGAGACCCUAGGAUAUUGAAACCAUAGGAGAAUAAGACCCGUGAGAGACGAGGACUUGUGAUUCGUGGCGAAAGGUUAAUGGAUUGGGUUGUGUCGGAAUCUCUAAGACGGAUAUUAGAGGUAGACUUAAGGUAAGGUUUAUUCUUGACCAAGAGUGUUCAUGUUGGGCGCGUACAACAUGAAGCCGAGUGACGAGAAUAGACGUCCUUGCGUGACUUUCGCCAGAUUGACUUUUGAGUCGGUGUUAGUGGUCUCGUGUUCGGCCCAGUAGGUCGAGAACUAAUCGAGUUGUCCUGUUUCAAGAAGCGAUGGCACCACGUAGGCGAUCUUCGUCCAGAUCGGCGCCGGAGGGGACAAGUGGUGUCCCUGAGCAAACCGACGCGAGCGGAGACGUGGAGCUUCGUGAUCAGUUGGCCACACUCGUUAGAGUGAUGAGGCAACAGGCUGAUGUAGUGCAGCGGCAGCAGGAGGCUGCAAUGGGCCAAGAGGAGCGAAUGAAACGACUCUAGGAAACCUUGGAUCGACUGGUGGCUGCACCAGCUGCGGCUCGUCGAGAACGGCUGGGAGUUGGGGCGGAGAUGUUUCCAUCGGGGUCGGGCGACCCGACUUCUAUUAGUCCAGAGGUAGCGGCGGAGAAGAAGCGAGCUUUGGCUGCCUUCAUGGCUUUCAAGAAAUUUGAUCCGCUUACCUUUGAUGGAGAGGAUGCAGAUCCGUGGGUCGUUGAGAUGUGGAUCGAUUCUAUAGAAACACUCUUCGAGGAUCUGUACGUGUUGGAGCGAGACAAGGUAAACCUAGCCGCGCACUAUCUGAAACAAUCGGCGAAGGUGUGGUGGAAAGGCGUCAAGCAAGAUCGAUCGCUUAGUCUCCCUCCUAUGACUUGGGAUGAGUUUCGAGGGUUAAUAUUCUCUGCUUAUUUUCCCGACAGUGAGAGGCGGAAGCUUUAGGAAAGGUUCCAAAAGCUGCGGCAAGGAGAUCGCUCAGUCAAGCAUUACGAGCGGGAGUUCUCCCGUAUCGUGCAUUGUAUUCCAGACGUGGUACAGGAUGACAAGGAUAAGGCCAACUGCUUUGUGCGUGGACUUUGGCCGGAUCUUUACAAGCCUGUACUUAUGCUUAAGUUGCAGACUUUUGCCGAAGUCCUGGAUCGGGCCUUGUGGAUAGAACAAGGCGAGGCAUCUCUGCGGGAGAGGCGCGAGGCCUAUUACGAGGAGAAAAGAAAAGGACGACCAACGAGUGGACAUGAUGGUCAGUCAAGUUCCCAACAGACCUCGGUGAGUUCGCACUCUCGAUCUCGAGCUCCGGGGACGUACCACAUUCUGUCCUCGAUGAGAUGUGUGAUUUGUGGGGGCCCUCGUUACCCACAGCAAUGUGAGCAGCGAGAGGGCAAGUAUUUUAAGUGUGGGCGACCAGGCCAUAUGCAGGACGAGUGUCUGCAAGGUGAUAGCCAGGCCUUGACACUAGUGACGGCCCAUUCCUCUCCGCGACGGCCUGCAGGUGUGCAACCUGCGGCAUGGUCGGGGGAGCAGCCGUUGAGGACGAUGCAACCGGAGGGUUCACGGCGAGUGCCAAGCAUAUACUUUUGCAUGAUCUCAAGUUCGUGCAUGGCAUGCAUUCGUCAUUGGUGAGUUGCUACUAUUAUUACGUUGCAUAGUAGGGACCNUCCGCGACGGCCUGCAGGUGUGCAACCUGCGGCAUGGUCGGGGAACCUGCCGUUGCUGACGACGUCAUGGCAGGUAUGAGUUGAUUGAGCAAGCAUAUACUUUUGCAUGAUCUCAAGUUCGUGCAUGGCAUGCAUUCGUCAUUGGUGAGUUGCUACUAUUAUUACGUUGCAUAGUAGGGACCAAGUGGUCGGGUAGGUAGACACCCGAGCAUGCUUGCAUUGUGAGAGUAUAGCACCUGCUGGUGCAGGAAGAAGGCCAAGUGACACUAGCGAAUGGCUGGUGAUGGUUCUUGGAUGAGAAAUAGGGCUCGUGGCAAACGUGAUCUAGUAAAUGACUCUCGAAGCAUUGGAUAAGAGAUUGUGAGAGUUGAGCCUUGAUGUUUGGGGAUACUCGAAUAUUCUAAGAGUAUCUCGGAUGGGGAUUCGGUAGAUCGAACAGUGAAGACGAACUACUGUUGCGAAAUUGGUCGAUUAGCGCCGAGUUUGGCCUGUGGGCCUAGUAGUACCUCGAAUUGAGGUGAACUAGUUGUGCUCGUGUAGUCAGCGGGCAUAGGCAAGUUGCCUGAUGCUAAACUUCGUGUGAGACGCUGUAGAGGCGUAGAGCGCUCCAGUAUAGUUACUCGUGAAGUGUGAUUUCGAUUCAGCCAGUCGAGUGAAUUGGCAGUAGCACUUUAGCAGGGCUAAGUGUGAAGCGGGCCAUGGAUCACUCGUGGGGACUGGUGGCUUGCACUAGGUGCCUAGGAGCCGAUAGAGUGUGUAGCUCUGUAGAGCAUGUCGUGUAGGACGACGUUGGCGGGUAGCGCUUGGGGACAACCCGUGUCUGGACCAAUUGUGGACUGUGGAGCUUAGGCCCAUCGGGCAGGCGCAGUCAGCUGUGAGAGAUAGCGGCCCGAUACCUGCAGGUAGGGCGGAGUGUUGGUCAGGACCGUAGUUCGAGCUUGGACCCGGGUACGUGGAAUGCCACGUGUUAGAUCAUGAGAUUGAUGACACACUGGGUGUGUACUGACCCAACACGUGGACUUGACGUGGUUUGGAGUCUUGGUUGCUCCUGGUUGGAGUGUGUGCGAAUUCUCCAAUGAGAAUGUCGCCCGAUGAUGAUUGGGUCUGCGCUUGCGAGCGAGAGAUGCUAGGUAUCAUUGAGACGAGUUAGGCGAUUGGCCUACGUAGGAUUGGUGGCCCUUGGUUCACCUGUGCAAACCGACGGUCGGUGCGGCCGACAACUCUGUUAGUGAAGUUUUGGCCUGAACCUCGGAUGGUGGGUUCGUGAAGGUUCGUUGUAAGAGCGAAUGGAAGUUGAUCGUGGCUCACCGUAUCGAGGAUAGAGAGAAAGUAAAGUGGUCUCUAGGAGACACUUGAAUAAUGGAUAGCCACGCGAGGAUUGGAGUUUGAGGAUGAUGCUCUCAAGAGGAUAGAGAUCAGAGAUGUGUGGGAUUGUACCAUCUCGUGAGAGCAGAGAUUCGAUUGGGAUUGAAGCACUCGCGAUUGGGUCGAGGCAUCAAUGAUAUUGCUUCUAGGCAAUGCCGGUGAUCGGAUUGGAGUGUGUUCCUUGAAGUGAAGAGGAAUGCGAAGCGGAGAGGUAUCGAGCUCUCGAAUAGCCGAAGUAGUGGAGUGCCACUUUGCGGAUGCUUGAGUAAUUCGAGAGGGUCUACUCGUGCGCAUAGUGUUGUGGUGGUGGAUCGUUCGUUUAGUUGAUGCGAUCUUGCUAGAUCCACACCACAAGGACAAAGGGUAGUCCUGAUCUCGAGGGAUGGUGAUGUUUAGUAGAACUGCGAAGGAACGAGUCCUUCUUAAGCCGAGUGGUUGGUGGUGUUAGACUGUGUGGGGUCAUACAUAUUGACUUACGCUACCACCGGGGCCUGUGAGGCCAUAAUGCACUUUCGAUGUUACAGGUGGAAAAUGUGAGUGAAAUUGGUCUCACAUCUCCCGUAGUGGGCAUUUGGAUGAUUCCGAUAAGGAAAAGGCCACUUCGAAGUGCAAAAGUGCAUUGGAACCCUCGAUUAAGUAGUGAGUUGAAUUGAGGGGUGAUUUGGAGUUAUGAAUGAGUAAGUUUCGAGGACGAAACUUUUUUUAAGGAGGAGAGAAUGUAACAAAGUGAAUUCUCGAAAUCCGAGAGUUGCACUUCGUCCAAAAUCGACUAAUGGUCGAGUGGGUAUGCUUCGGAAAGGUCGAAGAUGUCAAAGACCCAAAAAGUGCAUUGGAAAUGAGUCCGCGAGAGCAAAGAUGCAAAAUCUGCAUUUUUAGCAGAUUUGCUCUCGGGGAUCGGUCUCUGGCAGGAGAGACCGGUUCCAUCGGCUGAGGGUGCGGGGUUGCUGAUGCAACCAGUCCCUAGCAGGGAGGGACCGGUCCCCGCAGGCGACACCAGCAAGAAUGGCCAAAAAUUGGCUAAGUCCCGCGAGACGAGCUCUCGGGGACCAGUCUCUGGUGGGCAGGCCAGUCUCCGGGGGACCGGUCUCUCAGGGAGAGACCGGUUCUCGAACGUGUGGAAAAUAGGAAGGUCCUCUGGGACCGGUCCCAUGUCGGGAAGACCGGUCCCUCCGCGCGGGUUCAGCCCAGUGAGGGCCAGUUGAGAGAUGGAAAGUUGAGGGGUUUCUUAGCAUUUUGUUAUAAUAUGAGAGGGGAUUAAGAAAGGGUUUCUCUCUCUUUCUCUCACUCCCUCACUCUCCCUCACUGCUCUCUCUCUCUCUCUCCAUUCGUGGAAGAAGAAAAAGGAAAAAAAAAAAAGAGGAGAAGAAAGAAAGGAAAAGAGAAGAAAAGAAGGAUAAGAUGGAGGAAAAGAAGAGGAUCAUCAUCACCAUCAUCAUCUUCUUUUUCUCACCAUUGGAGCAAGCUUAGAGAGGUAAGCUUGGUGCCCUCUCAUAGUAGAUCUUUAGAGAUAGAUUUUUGAUCUCUAAAAAUGGUUGGAAUGGAACCCUAACAUGCUAUCAAGAUGGUUUUCCCCCAUUUUAUAGAUCGAUUUAGUGGAUUUGGUAGUAGUAGCAUAUAGGGCAUCCAAAAUGGAAUUUUGUGAUUUGGAAGGGUUUGAUCUCAUUUGACCCUCUAUAAACCUAAUUGAUAGGUAACGAAACGCAUUGGCGAAGUCGGUUCGGCAAUCCGACAAGCCGUUACAAAGAUAUUGAAGAAACGGACGUUUGGAGCUUCGUUUCCGCCUGGAAGGCCGAGGCGACGUCCAUAAAUCGCGAGAUUGGGUCCCGAGCACUGUGACAACAAAGCGAAGACCUUUAAUUCUUGGAACAGCAAAGCGGCGCGCUAUUGGAGUGCAACUACAAGAUCGGGCCCAACGGGUGCCGAGUGCCGUGGGAGGCCGAUUGCAAGUGUCGACGAGCAAUCGGAAAGCUAGCUAAGGUGGGUUGUGCUUACCGAAGCGACUAGGUCGCCUUUUAUAUCUAAGAACAUACGGUUUCAUAUUAACGCAUGUUAAUAAAAUGACGUAGAUGAUGCAUAUAUUAAAAAUGCUAAGUAGAAUGCAUGAUGAACAUGAUGUAUAAAUGCUAGAGGAUCGGAUGAGUGCAUGAGCAGCAUGACUAUAUAUAUAUGCAUGUAAACUAGAUGAUAACUCUAGAAGUGUAGAGUUGAUUGAAUGAGAACAAUAGAAUACUCGAUUGGACAAUUAGGAUGUCAAUUAGAUCGAGUGGCACCUAAACUUAGUGUUAAAGAAUAUAGGUUAAACGAGUAAACCUAGAGUCGAACAAGUCUAGGUGUGUGGCAUCGAACCUAGUGUUAGUAAACAUAGGUCGAACAAAUGAACCUAGAGGUUGACAUCUAGGCAGAGAUGAGAUGGAACCUAGCGGUUUUACCUAGGUUAUGUAUAUGAUAAACCUAGAGUAAAGUUAAACCUAGGUUGUUGAGAAUAGUGGUAUUGACCACUAGGAUGUUCUAGGUCGACAACAUAGGGUUCGUUAUGGACCCUCGACCUGUGGAAAGUGGAUUCCGGAAUCCCAGGACUUGUGAUGACCCUGGUAUCAAGGUUAGGGCGUGUGCGACGACUUUGCCGCCGAGGUUGAUACCGAGGAAGGAUUGGGGGCGAUCACAUGGAGAUCACCGCCCGGAGCUUGGACCAUUGACAUGGCGUGUGCGAUGAUUUCGCCGCCGGAUGGUUAAGUCGAUUGUGGAUCAGGCCGCCGGAAUUGACUGAAACCAUUGCUGGGUAAGUACGAUACGGGUGUCGCCAGUUGGCUAAGUCGUAACUGAAAUCAUUGUUGGGUGAGGUACGAUUAGUUUGCCGCCAGAUGGAUAGGUCAUGACUUGAGUCCUCGCUGGGUAAGUGCAACGUGUUCGCCGCCAGAAUGGCUAUGUCAAGGGACUUGAGCCGGGUUCAGCGUGUGCGACGAUUUCGCCGCUAAGAGGCUAAGUCACAGAGGGCGGUAGGCUG
rnacentral:lncRNA from 1 species